UGGUGAUUGGAGAAGUCUUAACCGUAUGCUGUCCACCAGCAUAUACUUCCAAUGACUGUCAAAAAAUAUGUGAAUACACUGCAGGUUGCGUUUAUUUUACAUGGAACACCGUAAAUUUUGCUUGUUAUCUUAAAGGAGAAACUGGCUGGACAAAAAUUAUCUCUGAAGACACGGAAGGAGGUCGAAUUGGUGGAUCCAUUGAAAAAGGCAUUGAUUACUCUGGCGCAGAUUUACCUAAUUGCUAACUAACCGUGUAAACUUUUGUUUAAAAAUAAAUAUGUAUUUAAAGCGGUUAA